AGUCGCAGCAGAGGAUCAUCGAUAAUUUCAGCUGCGCAAGCAUGAUAGGUGUUUGCCUGACAUUCCGUUAAACCAUGUUGACAUUCAAAAGUGUAUUUGCCUUCGCUGUCAGUGGCAGUGUGUGCCUAUUGAAAAAAUGGGCACCAGCUGCACUUCCAUAAUAGGCGCUGCCACUUUGAAGGCAGGCAACAGUUGCUUGGUGAUGAAGAAUUUGGAGUCGGGGCAGAGAGCUUCAUAGAAUACCAUUACGAGCACCGGUGCUCCGGCAGCCCGACGAAAACUGGGUUCAUCCUAUUAAUUAUGAAUAGAAAUAAAACUUGUUUAAGCCAUUUGUGCUGGACGAGAUGGCUGUGCAAUGUUUUCAAAAUGGUCACACUGGCUAGCGAGUACAACCGCCCGGCUGUAAAAACCCAGCUGUCCGCCCUUAUCAAGAUAUAUGUACACAAACGAACACGCACAAUUGUAGAUACACACACACACACACGCUGCACACGUAAAUACAAAACUAUCUUUUUUGCUUCCAUGGAUGGUUGCACUUGAAAACACAGAUACAACAAAAUGUAUGGACUUACCGUUAAUGUCAGCAGUGGAUUGUACAAGAAAAUAAUACGUAGCAAGAGUCCCAGAACGAUAAUUAGAAAUAAAAUGAUAAGAAUUCGUUUACGUGUGGCUAUCAUUUAUCCGAUUCAUUAAUUAAACUGAUUUGUGCAGUAUGUGCAAUCCGUAACAAAGUCAUAUACGACUAAAUAGCAGCUAGCCUAA